rnacentral:tRNA from 1 species
UCCCAGGUAGCUCAGCUGGUAAAAUACCUGCCUGCAAUGCAGAAGACCCUGGUUUGAUUCCUGGGUUGGGAA